rnacentral:rRNA from 1 species
UACGGAGGAUGCGAGCGUUAUCCGGAUUUAUUGGGUUUAAAGGGUGCGUAGGCGGACGGUCAAGUCAGCGGUAAAAAUGCGGUGCUCAACGCCGUACAGCCGUUGAAACUGGCAGUCUUGAGUGGGCGAGAAGUAUGCGGAAUGCGUGGUGUAGCGGUGAAAUGCAUAGAUAUCACGCAGAACUUCGAUUGCGAAGGCAGCAUACCGGCGCCCUACUGACGCUGAGGCACGAGAGCGUGGGUAUCAAACAGG